AUGACACAUGCAUGGGCUUGGAUGCAGUACAUGGGGUGUGUGGUUGGGGCAGCGCAGAUCGACCUUGGGGCGGCGGGGAGAGCAGGAGGUGGUGAGGUAGCACUAUGGCAGAGGUCGGAUAUGCGAGUGUGUUCGGAUCCAGCCGCCAUGGAUGCCAACGCGGAGAUCUGGGGUGGCGGCCGGAUCGAUGGAGAGCAGCAAGAGGUGGAUGGAGGUCAGGGAGGAGUGGAGCAGCCAGUUCCCUACCCAAAGUUGGCGACGGGGGCGGUGAGAUGGAGUGGGCGAUACAUUCGCCAUGUGCGGGGUAGCUCUCCUCUCCUAUCAGCGCUCGACGGUGGACGGAGGUCAGGGAAUGGCAUAUGUCUUGUAAUAACGGGGAGAAAACUAGGUAUACUUCUAAUGGGGUAA
rnacentral:rRNA from 1 species